rnacentral:misc_RNA from 1 species
GAUGAAGAACGCAGCAAAAUGCGAUAAGUAAUGUGAAUUGCAGAAUUCAGUGAAUCAUCGAAUCUUUGAACGCACAUUGCGCCCGCUGGUAUUCCGGCGGGCAUGCCUGUUCGAGCGUCAUUUCAACCCUCAAGCCCCCGGGUUUGGUGUUGGGGAUCGGCUCUGCCCUUCUGGGCGGUGCCGCCCCCGAAAUACAUUGGCGGUCUCGCUGCAGCCUCCAUUGCGUAGUAGCUAACACCUCGCAACUGGAACGCGGCGCGGCCAUGCCGUAAAACCCCAACUUCUGAAUGUUGACCUCGGAUCAGGUAGGAAUACCCGCUGAACUUAAGCAUAUCAAUAAGCGGAAGGA